rnacentral:rRNA from 1 species
GAUGAACGCUAUCUACAGGCUUAACACAUGCAAGUCGAGGGACCGGCGCACGGGUGCGUAGCACGUAUCAAACCUGCCCUUUACUCGGGGAUAACCUUUCGAAAGACAGAUUAAUACCCGAUAUGAAGGCUAGGGAUGUGUUCCAUUAUGUUGUUGGUGAGGUAACGGCGCACCAAGCCUUCGAUGGCUAGGAGUUAUGUGAGGAAGCACCCCCAUAAUGGAACUGAGACACAGGCCAAACGCGUCCGUGAGGCAGCAGUGAGGAAUAUUGGUGAAUGGGCGCUACCCUGAACCAGCCAAGUAGCUUGAAGGAUGAAGGAUUAUGGGUAGUAAACUACUUUUAUAGAAGAAUACGUAUUAUAUGAAUAAGGAUCGGCUAACUCCGUGCCAGCAGCCGCGGUAAUAC